AUAGGCUCAAAAAUCGUUGUGGAAGUUCCUGAUGGUACUCCUAGGUGAAGAGGCUCAAGUGAAAGCCCGGUUCGGUUGUUUGGAGAUAGUGCUAAUCUUGAUGAAAGAUAGGUGUACGGUUUGCAUAGAACGUACCAUAUUCUCAUAAAUCAAUUUGGACGCACUCGAUAGAACUCCUAGAUCAUGUGUGUCAUUUGGAAUCUCGCUUCAAUCUGUUUGGAGACAUUGUUAGUUUAGGUGGAAGAUUGGUGCAUCGUUUGCGCAUAAUGCACCAUAGGCUCAGAAACC
rnacentral:lncRNA from 1 species